rnacentral:rRNA from 1 species
AAAAAAGGUAAGCUACUAAGAGCGAAUGGUGGAUGCCUUGACUGGUAAAGGCGAUGAAGGACGUACUAGACUGCGAUAAGCUACGGGGAGCUGUCAAGAAGCUUUGAUCCGUAGAUUUCCGAAUGGGGCAACCCAAUGUAUAGAGAUAUACAUUACCUAUAUAGGAGCGAACGAGGGGAAUUGAAACAUCUUAGUACCCUCAGGAAAAGAAAUCAAUAGAGAUUGCGUCAGUAGCGGCGAGCGAAAGCGCAAGAGGGCAAACCCAGUGCUUGCACUGGGGGUUGUAGGACUGCAAUGUGCAAGAGGUGAGUUUAGCAGAACAUUCUGGAAAGUAUAGCCAUAGAGGGUGAUAGUCCCGUAUGCGAAAAACAAACCUUAGCUAGCAGUAUCCUGAGUAGGGCGGGACACGAGAAAUCCUGUCUGAAGCUGGGUCGACCACGAUCCAACCCUAAAUACUAAUACCAGAUCGAUAGUGCACAAGUACCGUGAGGGAAAGGUGAAAAGAACUGAGGUGAUCAGAGUGAAAUAGAACCUGAAACCAUUUGCUUACAAUCAUUCAGAGCACUAUGUAGCAAUACAGUGUGAUGGACUGCCUUUUGCAUAAUGAGCCUGCGAGUUGUGGUGUCUGGCAAGGUUAAGCAAACGCGAAGCCGUAGCGAAAGCGAGUCUGAAUAGGGCGCUUAGUCAGAUGCUGCAGACCCGAAACGAAGUGAUCUAUCCAUGAGCAAGUUGAAGCUAGUGUAAGAACUAGUGGAGGACUGAACCCAUAGGCGUUGAAAAGCCCCGGGAUGACUUGUGGAUAGGGGUGAAAGGCCAAUCAAACUUCGUGAUAGCUGGUUCUCUCCGAAAUAUAUUUAGGUAUAGCGUUGUGUCGUAAUAUAAGGGGGUAGAGCACUGAAUGGGCUAGGGCAUACACCAAUGUACCAAACCCUAUCAAACUCCGAAUACCUUAUAUGUAAUCACAGCAGUCAGGCGGCGAGUGAUAAAAUCCGUCGUCAAGAGGGAAACAACCCAGACUACCAGCUAAGGUCCCUAAAUCUUACUUAAGUGGAAAACGAUGUGAAGUUACUUAAACAACCAGGAGGUUGGCUUAGAAGCAGCCAUCCUUUAAAGAAAGCGUAAUAGCUCACUGGUCUAGUGAUUUUGCGCGGAAAAUAUAACGGGGCUAAAGUAAGUACCGAAGCUGUAGACUUGAUUUUAUCAAGUGGUAGGAGAGCGUUCUAUUUGCGCCGAAGGUAUACCGGUAAGGAGUGCUGGAGCGAAUAGAAGUGAGCAUGCAGGCAUGAGUAGCGAUAAUUAAUGUGAGAAUCAUUAACGCCGUAAACCCAAGGUUUCCUACGCGAUGCUCGUCAUCGUAGGGUUAGUCGGGUCCUAAGUCGAGUCCGAAAGGGGUAGACGAUGGCAAAUUGGUUAAUAUUCCAAUACCAACAUUAGUGUGCGAUGGAAGGACGCUUAGGGCUAAGGGGGCUAGCGGAUGGAAGUGCUAGUCUAAGGUCGUAGGAGGUUAUACAGGCAAAUCCGUAUAACAAUACUCCGAGAACUGAAAGGCUUUUUGAAGUCUUCGGAUGGAUAGAAGAACCCCUGAUGCCGUCGAGCCAAGAAAAGUUUCUAAGUUUAGCUAAUGUUGCCCGUACCGUAAACCGACACAGGUGGGUGGGAUGAGUAUUCUAAGGCGCGUGGAAGAACUCUCUUUAAGGAACUCUGCAAAAUAGCACCGUAUCUUCGGUAUAAGGUGUGGUUCGCUUCGUAUUAGGAUUUACUCCGAAAGCGAAGAAACUUACAACAAAGAGUCCCUCCCGACUGUUUACCAAAAACACAGCACUCUGCUAACUCGUAAGAGGAUGUAUAGGGUGUGACGCCUGCCCGGUGCUCGAAGGUUAAUUGAUGGGGUUAGCAUUAGCGAAGCUCUUGAUCGAAGCCCGAGUAAACGGCGGCCGUAACUAUAACGGUCCUAAGGUAGCGAAAUUCCUUGUCGGUUAAAUACCGACCUGCAUGAAUGGCGUAACGAGAUGGGAGCUGUCUCAAAGAGGGAUCCAGUGAAAUUGUAGUGGAGGUGAAAAUUCCUCCUACCCGCGGCAAGACGGAGAGACCCCGUGGACCUUUACUACAGCUUGACACUGCUAUUUGGAUAAGAAUGUGCAGGAUAGGUGGGAGGCUUUGAGUAUAUGACGCCAGUUGUAUAUGAGCCAUUGUUGAGAUACCACUCUUUCUUAUUUGGGUAGCUAACCAGCUUGAGUUAUCCUCAAGUGGGACAAUGUCUGGUGGGUAGUUUGACUGGGGCGGUCGCCUCCCAAAUAAUAACGGAGGCUUACAAAGGUUGGCUCAGAACGGUUGGAAAUCGUUCGUAGAGUAUAAAGGUAUAAGCCAGCUUAACUGCAAGACAUACAAGUCAAGCAGAGACGAAAGUCGGUCUUAGUGAUCCGGUGGUUCUGUGUGGAAGGGCCAUCGCUCAAAGGAUAAAAGGUACCCCGGGGAUAACAGGCUGAUCUCCCCCAAGAGCUCACAUCGACGGGGAGGUUUGGCACCUCGAUGUCGGCUCAUCGCAUCCUGGGGCUGGAGCAGGUCCCAAGGGUAUGGCUGUUCGCCAUUUAAAGCGGUACGCGAGCUGGGUUCAGAACGUCGUGAGACAGUUCGGUCCCUAUCUGCCGUGGGCGUAAGAAGAUUGAAGAGAUUUGACCCUAGUACGAGAGGACCGGGUUGAACAAACCACUGGUGUAGCUGUUGUUCUGCCAAGAGCAUCGCAGCGUAGCUAAGUUUGGAAAGGAUAAACGCUGAAAGCAUCUAAGCGUGAAGCCAACUCUAAGAUGAAUCUUCUCUAAGCUCUCUAGAAGACUACUAGUUUGAUAGGCUGGGUGUGUAAUGGAUGAAAGUCCUUUAGCUGACCAGUACUAAUAGAGCGUUUGGCUUAUCUUUAAUAAAGCAU